UGGAGUAUAGCCAAGCGGUAAGGCAUCGGUUUUUGGUCCCGGCAUGCAAAGGUUCGAAUCCUUUUACUCCAG
rfam:Oryza rufipogon genomic scaffold, chr06